CACUCAGCACUAGUGCUAAUGAAUCUUGCUAAUAUUUUAUUUACUGUCUGCAUCAUUUCUGCAUGUCUACUUUUUUCUUCUUAGACGGCCACAUUUAUCAUAUUCAGUAAUUCUUUAAAUAUAAGUGGAUAUAUGUGAUCAAUUACCACCAAGAGAGAAAAAAUACAACUUCAUUUCUGUGCAAAAACAACUGCAUUACUUUGAUACUCUUCCAGUCUGUAAUCACUUUUGUCUAUCAAAUGUUAAAUGAUGGAUAAACUGAUGGCAGGAGUCUAUUGCAUGCCAGGUGACAGUUAUCAGAAGGUUUAAUGUCAGAUGAAAACGUAAUAAGCGGUGCAACAAGUUGAAGCUUGUGCAUAUGGAAGUAAAUCUAAUUAUGUCAGAGCAUGUCUGCCACAGCAGCUUGGUUUCAUUGAUACAACGUCAAUGGUAAUUAAGUGACACCGACAUAAUCGAACAUCAAUGGAAAAGGUGGGUGUCUUGAUGACACCUGAGGUGGCAAAAGCGACAGACUUUUUUUGGCGGCUCAAAUACACACAAGCGGUAUGAGGGGAACCCCGGCUGCACCGCAUCAGGCCUGGGAACGUAAACACUGGGUCUUCUGCAACGUUAGCUGUGAAACCGCUGCCUGCUCGGGAUGCUAGUUACACCUAUGAGACCUACGCGGCCCUCGAAGUCGAGUUACCGCUGCAAAAGUCCUCUCAUCAAGGCGGGUCUUCGGUUAGGACAUCACUUCCUUGUUCAGUGACUUGGUUCGGCCUUGCUGGGCCUGCAUACCCAGUAUGCCUCGCAGUCCGGUGAAGAUAUCCAAGGGCAAUGGAGAAGUUUUGGAGCCAGACUAAAAGCUGUUAGAUGUGAGGAGCCGCUGGCUGGGUGAGACCAGCUGAUCAUCUCAGCAGCCCGACUCUUGAGAUGAUCGACUGGUCAACAUCCAACAUCAUCAACAAACGAGAAAGUGACGUCCUAACUGAAGACCCGCCUUGAUAUAUUAUCUCUUUGCUCCUGUUGAUCAAGCCAGGCUGAAUAAGUUGGGUUAUCUUAAUUAACAUUUUUACAACACCUUGUGUUUUUGAUUUUUUGGCUGCAUCUCAAGCAAAUAGUUAAAGUCCCCCUCCACUCAUGAAUGUGCUUUUCUUAUUAUUACUUUACUUAGAUGUUUGAGCUUCACUGUGCAGAAUGAUGUGUGUGCAGAGUUUGACAAUAGAAGACACUAGAAGACAUUCAUCUGGUGGAGAGGGAAAGUUUCUCUGUGCUCAUCAAAAAUCUGAGCUUAAGGUGUGUACCUACAAGCAGGAUUUGUGACCUCACAACUAGUUUGGAGCCUAUCAUGGAGCUAUUACCAAGAGAAGUCACAUCUUUUGAAGAUUCUGAAAAUGAAUUAGCUGUAAAUGCUUCAGUUAAAUAUAUAUAAGGAACACGUGUUAAUUCACAAAUGCAUGAAACUUUUUUUUUAGAUGUUGAUCACAUGUGGCAUAUAAUGUACACUACAGUAUGACUGUAUAGUAUUUAAGAGUCAUAUCCAGGCUUAACUGGUUCUGUGGACCAACCAGUAACAAAACAUUGACUAAAAGUCCCAUAAGAACCUUAAGAGCUUGCCAAAUAAUAGACCUGAUCAUUCAUCCAGACUCAAGUAGCAGCAUCCCAGAAUAUCAGCUUGUUCUGAACAGGACAGAUGCUGAAAACCCUCUUCUUUUUAUUUUCACUAUGGUAAUGAUGGAUUAGAUUUUUUCCAAACAUUCAUUUUCAGUAAUGUGCUUAGCAUAAAUAUCUUUUGCUGUAUUUCUACUUUAAUAUCUUUGGUGUAUUGUGUAAUCACCUAUGUGCCAUAUAAAUACCUUCCUUGCUUUGACUUUUUGUUUCAAUGAAAUAUAUUAAAUAAUUGCUACAUAAGUCUGGAUCCAACAUGUUUAUAAAACAUGUCACUGCUUUAGCUUGCAAAUGCUUCAUAACAGAUCUAAGUGGACUUUUGGAGACUUUGUUUGUAUCAUGUGAAAUUAUUGUUGUUUAUUUUCCAUCACUGAGGAAGUCAUCCAAAAUUUCUCAAAAUUAAGGGGUAUUAUAGUACAACUGCCUGUGUGUAUGUAUCAAUAUUUAAGUUCUAACAGUUUCAUAACCCAUUGACAACAACAUCUAUUACAUCCAUAAAGUUUACUGAUUAAUGUUACCCUAUAAUGGCUCAGUGGUGAGGAGAGAACUUUGCAAUGUGUUUAUGUGUAUGUGUGUGUGGCUCCCAGAGAGAGGAGAAUGUCCUUAAAUCACUGGAGUUGGCUAACCAGGGCCGGCUGGCCUGUGUUGGACCUGUUAAUCGAGCGUUAAAAUGGCCUGUCAUAAACCACUGGCCAGUGACUUCAGCAAACAACCUUAUGACCUGGGAACACACUCACUCUUUUUCUGACCGCCCCUCUGUCCACUCAGCCGUAUGAAACAAACUCAAAAUAUGAAAUACACUCUUAUCCACGGCUGCAGACAAACACAUACACAAACACACACUCACAACAUGACAUCACCGUCAUCCCCCAGUCUCUCACACAUACAGUACAGAAAUUCGGUGACUUCAUCAGCCCAACACAGAUGUUCUCUCUUACACCCAAACAUGUAGACACACACUCAACAAAAACAUGCUCAUUACACACACAUGGUGUGUCAGAACUGUGACAGUGACGCAGUUGCCAGCACCAUUACGUACAUUAGAAGUGGUAGCAUGUGUUGUGAAAGGAGAAGGAGAGAGAGGAGAGAGAGAGGGAGAGACACAGAGAGAGUUUAUGGUGCAUGACAUCAUCUGAUCUGAGGUCUGUGGGUGGCGCGCAGUGUUAAGAGUUUGGGCUAGAUUUCAAACUGGAUUUUCUGAUUAUCAGCUGUGCUCCUUUUCCACUGAAGACACAACUCAAGUGUUCACAUGCUGUAACACACACACACACACUAGUGGUCUACUCUUGAGUGGAGUGCAGAGUUAGAUGUAAAUUUAACCAUUGCAUUACAUAAUCAGAUGACUGUAACUUGUAUACUUAGAUGCUGUUUAAAGUAUCUGUUUCCAAAUUACUUUUCAAGUGCCACAUUACUCUGAAAUUCACCGAUAGAGACAGUCAAUAAGUGUGUGAUGUAUAGCCACAGUGAGGAUAAUGCUACAUGAGGACUGAGGUCAGAAAGUUUGUUUGACCGUUGACCUAAAACACCAUCAUUUUACAGAGCAGGUGACAUCAGGCUGUGAGCAGGCAGCUCUCUAAAGCUCCCAGUCUGGCUGUUAAAAGCCAUGCUGAGGUGAAGAUGCCAGAUGGUAAUGGCUGGUAUAGCCACUGAGUUAUUGAGGGAGUUGUAAUCUCAGUGGCAUUGUCUGCUCCGGGGCAGCAGCCAGAGACUUCCUGGCUGCCGUCAUACACUUUUUAGUGUGACUGUGUGGCUCUACUCUACACAGACACACACACACAUGUGCUGUAAAACAUCCCUUAUCUUCGCUGAAAACAGAACUCUGUGAUUCAUAUCCACACGGGGGGAAGAGCUCAAAACACAAAGUGACAUCAUCACAACUUCCUGUUUCUUCUUGUUGCCAUAGCUACUGGAAUUUGCAUACUUUAGGCCAUUGGUGGAUGAUGAGUCAGUAGGGUUUGGUCCCAUUUCGCACUUCAACCACAACAAAACUAUACUCCUCUGUUCAGCUCCAGCCCAGCUGGAGCGCCGGAAAGCCUGACCAAACAUGGCAGAGAUAUUACUGCAUGACUUAGCUCAAUGGAGAUGUGAAUGACCAAAAUCCCUACUGUUGUUUGGUGAUUUCAUGGCAUCAUAUAAAUAAGUUUAACACAUUUCAAAACAUUUGUUUUUGGAAACAAGGUCUGUAGUUGUUGUGUGGUAGUUGUAGCGAGUCUGUAGGUGUUCAGUGCAACUUGACCAAAAAAACAUUUUACAUUUCAUUACAUUUUAAUAGAUGCUUAAAUACAGCAAAUAUUUAUC